GACGAACGCUGGCGGCGUGCUUAACACAUGCAAGUCGAACGGAAAGGCCCUGCUUUUGUGGGGUGCUCGAGUGGCGAACGGGUGAGUAACACGUGAGUAACCUGCCCUUGACUUUGGGAUAACUUCAGGAAACUGGGGCUAAUACCGGAUAGGAGCUCCUGCUGCAUGGUGGGGGUUGGAAAGUUUCGGCGGUUGGGGAUGGACUCGCGGCUUAUCAGCUUGUUGGUGGGGUAGUGGCUUACCAAGGCUUUGACGGGUAGCCGGCCUGGGAGGGUGACCGGCAACAUGGGGAUGAGGAUCGGGCCCAAAUCCCUAGGGGGGGAAGAGGUGGGAAUAUUGCACAAUGGGCGGAAGCCUGAUGCAGCAACGCCGCGUGCGGGAUGACGGCCUUCGGGUUGUAAACCGCUUUCGCCUGUGACGAAGCGUGAGUGACGGUAAUGGGUAAAGAAGCACCGGCUAACUACGUG
rnacentral:rRNA from 1 species